rnacentral:rRNA from 1 species
UACGUAGGGGGCAAGCGUUGUCCGGAUUUAUUGGGCGUAAAGAGCGUGUAGGCGGCCUUACAGGUCAGCUGUGAAAACUCGAGGCUCAACCUCGAGACGUCGGUUGAAACCGUAAGGCUAGAGUCCGGAAGAGGAGAGUGGAAUUCCCGGUGUAGCGGUGAAAUGCGCAGAUAUCGGGAAGAACACCCGUGGCGAAGGCG